rnacentral:rRNA from 1 species
GACCUUCCGGGAGGCUUGUACAGGUGCUGCAUGGCUGUCGUCAGCUCGUGUCGUGGGAUGUUCGGUUAAGUCCGCUAACGAGCGCAACCCUCGCUGUGUGUUACAAGUGUCACACGGAACUGCCGGUCAUAAACCGGAGGAAGGUGGGGAUGACGUCAAGUCAGCAUGGCCUUUAUAUCCUGGGCUACACACACGCUACAAUGGGAAGGGACAAUAGGUUGCGAAGCCGCGAGGCGGAGCCAAUCCAGCAAAACUUCCCUCAGUUCAGAUUGCAGGCUGCAACCCGCCUGCAUGAAGUUGGAGUUGCUAGUAAACGCAGGUCAGCCAUACUGCGUUGAAUACGUUCCCGGGGCUU